UACAGAGGUCCCAAGCGUUGUUCGGAUUCACUGGGCGUAAAGGGUGCGUAGGCGGGCAGGUAAGUCCGUGGUGAAAUCUCUGAGCUUAACUCAGAAACUGCCAUGGAUACUAUUUGUCUUGAAUAUUGUGGAGGUAAGCGGAAUAUGUCAUGUAGCGGUGAAAUGCUUAGAUAUGACAUAGAACACCAAUUGCGAAGGCAGCUUACUACACAGUUAUUGACGCUGAGGCACGAAAGCGUGGGGAUCAAACAGG
rnacentral:rRNA from 1 species